rnacentral:rRNA from 1 species
AUUGAACGCUGGCGGCAGGCCUAACACAUGCAAGUCGAGCGGAUGAAGGGAGCUUGCUCCUGGAUUCAGCGGCGGACGGGUGAGUAAUGCCUAGGAAUCUGCCUGGUAGUGGGGGAUAACGUCCGGAAACGGGCGCUAAUACCGCAUACGUCCUGAGGGAGAAAGUGGGGGAUCUUCGGACCUCACGCUAUCAGAUGAGCCUAGGUCGGAUUAGCUAGUUGGUGGGGUAAAGGCCUACCAAGGCGACGAUCCGUAACUGGUCUGAGAGGAUGAUCAGUCACACUGGAACUGAGACACGGUCCAGAGUCCUACGGGAGGCAGCGGUGGGGAAUAUUGGACAAUGGGCGAAAGCCUGAUCCAGCCAUGCAGCGUGUGUGAAGAAGGUCUUCGGAUUGUAAAGCGCUUUUAGUGGGGAGGAAGGGCAGUAAGUUAAUAGCUUGCUGUGUUGACGUUACCAACAGAAUAAGCACCGGCUAACUUCGUG